rnacentral:lncRNA from 1 species
ACCUCGUUCGAGAUUCAACGACAACAAUUAGAAUUAGCUUUAAUCCAUUGUAUGCUUGCAUUUCUCCUAUGGGGAACCUUUAGUCAUUUUGGUCAUUGGUCAAAAUUCUCCGGGCAUGCCAAAAUGUGGAUUCAUGGUUCAAAGAUGAAUUCAAAUUAGAGGAAACAAUCAUUGGAUUUAAGUUAGUCGCAACACAUUGAACUGCAAUAAGUUCAAUUAUAUGGAAUCGAAGAAAAUCCUCAGUAUGAACAAAUUUGUUUUUCAGCAAAUGGUAGUCACGCUUCGAACCCAUCAUCCGAGUCGGUCACGUGAUACGGCCGCACACUCUCUAGGGCAAAGCCCAAAAAAUAUGCAAGGCCUGAAAAUUUAUUGCAACUUCAAUAUCACUAAACAAUAAUGAUCUCAAUUCAUAUCAAAUAACAAAGCCAAUCCACUUAUAAAAUUAAAUCAUUCAACCAGGAUCAGUGAUGCUCUAUUUAUUCAUCCCUUUUCUAUAUGAUCUCAAUCAUCGCCAAGCAACCAUAGCCAAGUAUUAAGCCACUUGCAAUCUGCAACUUUGAAAAGAAAAAGAAAAAAAAGGUUAUGAGCUUUACAACC